AACGUAGGUUCCGAGCGUUAUCCGGAUUUACUGGGCGUAAAGCGCGUUCAGGCGGUUUGGCAAGUCGGGCAUGAAAUCUCUCGGCUCAACCGGGAGAGGUUGUCCGAUACUUCCAGACUUGAGGGCAGUAGAGGGUGGUGGAAUUCCGGGUGUAGUGGUGAAAUGCGUAGAUAUCCGGAGGAGCACCAGUGGCGAAAGCGGCCACCUGGACUGCACCUGACGCUGACACGCGAAAGCUAGGGGAGCGAACGGG
rnacentral:rRNA from 1 species